rnacentral:rRNA from 1 species
GGCCGCGGGAAUUCGAUUCAGGCCUAACACAUGCAAGUAGAACGAUUCUCUUCGGAGAAGAGCGGCGGACGGGUGAGUAACGCGUGGGUAACCUGCCCUGUACACACGGAUAACAUACGGAAAGGUAUGCUAAUACGAGAUAAUAUGCUUUUAUCGCAUGGUAGAAGUAUCAAAGCUCCGGCGGUACAGGAUGGACCCGCGUCUGAUUAGCUAGUUGGUAAGGUAACGGCUUACCAAGGCGACGAUCAGUAGCCGACCUGAGAGGGUGAUCGGCCACAUUGGAACUGAGACACGGUCCAAACUCCUACGGGAGGCAGCAGUGGGGAAU